GAUGAAGAACGCAGCGAAAUGCGAUAAGUAAUGUGAAUUGCAGAAUUCAGUGAAUCAUCGAAUCUUUGAACGCACCUUGCACCCUUUGGCAUUCCGAAGGGUAUGCUCGUUUGAGUGUCAUUGUACUCUCACACUCUCCGAUCCUAUGGAUUCGGGGAGCGGUGGACUUGGGUGUUGCUGCCUUUCCUUGUGGCUCACCUCAAAUGUGUCAGUGCACCUCUUGGUUGGACAUAGUACGGCGUGAUAAGUGUCUUCGCCGGCACCUCGCAAGAGGGUGGCCGAUCGGGAGCUCUGUGCUUUCAAACCGUCUUCGGACAACUUCUGACAACUUGACCUCAAAUCGAGUAGGACUACCCGCUGAACUUAAGCAUAUCAAUAAGCGGAGGA
rnacentral:misc_RNA from 1 species